GACGAACGCUGGCGGCGUGCCUAACACAUGCAAGUCGAACGGGGUAGAGGCCUUCGGGCUUCUGCUUAGUGGCGAACGGGUGAGUAACGCGUGAGAAACCUGCCUUUCAGUGGGGGACAACAGUUGGAAACGACUGCUAAUACCGCAUAAUGUAUUCGGGGGGCAUCCCCUGAAUACCAAAGCUUUAUGUGCUGAAAGAUGGUCUCGCGUCUGAUUAGCUAGAUGGAGGGGUAACGGCCCACCAUGGCGACGAUCAGUAGCCGGUCUGAGAGGAUGAACGGCCACAUUGGGACUGAGAUGCGGCCCAGACUCCUACGGGAGGCAGCAGUGGGGAAUAUUGGGCAAUGGGGGAAACCCUGACCCAGCAACGCCGCGUGAAGGAAGAAGGCCUUCGGGUUGUAAACUUCUUUUAGCAGGGACGAAGAACGUGACGGUACCUGCAGAAAAAGCAACGGCUAACUACGUGCCUGCCGCCGCGGUAAUAC
rnacentral:rRNA from 1 species